CAGGGCGGGUGUGUUGCCGGAGUCGCCUUCUAUUGGCUACACUCCCGCGGACUGUCUGGGCUUUCCGACAUCUGAUUGGAUGGAACAGCCCUGUGUACGCCGACAUCAUUGGAGGACGCUGGAGCCAGGGGGCGGAGCGGAUUCCCCAGGAUUCUUGACCGGGCGCGCUAGUCCGCGGAGCCGGGCGCGGGGCGCGAGAGCGGAGCUGCGCGGGCGGCUGUGGAGGGAAGGUCUCCUAGGCAAUUGGGGUCUUUGAGGCGAAUACGAGGCUGGGGCCGGUUACCGACCGGCCGCUUCUUGCCGAGGCAGUCCAGGCUUUACCCCUGGCGGUGGCCGCUGCGAGACAGCAUCUGUCAACGCUCCUCUUUUCCCCUCCUCCUCCGGCCGGGCCGGGCUCCGCCGGCUGCGGCCGAGAGGACGCGGGACCCGGCGCGGUGAGCCCAUCAGCUGUCAGGCGAGCGGCGAAGCGGCCGGAGGGCGGCGAGAGACACACAAAGAACGCGGUGGGCGGCGGCGGCGAAAGGGGGCGGCAAAUUCGGGACGGCAACUCCUCCUCGCGCCCGCUGGUGCCACCGCCGCCCGGGCUUGGUCCGAGGCCGCGCAGACAAUGCGGCCGGGCCCCAGAGUGCGGGGCGCCUGCGCUCCCCAGACCCCAACUUGACCGUCACCCUGCUCGCCCAGCCCCCUCCCGGGAUAGGGGCGCCCCCCUCGUUCCGGCAGCCGGCGAAGGAAGUCUGCCGCGGCCGCGUAGCCCGGCAACUUGCAAGCCGGGAAAAGUUUGCGGCGCCUCCGCGGGGCGGCGCGACGCGGCCCGCCCCACGCGUCCGCGGUCACCGAGGGUGACUUUCUCGACUCGUCGUCAGCCGGGGCCGCAGCGCGGCCGGCGAGGACUGCGGGGAGGGCCGGAGUCGGUCCGAGGGCUCCCGCACCUGGGGCUGCGGCCUGGAGAGUUGCUGUAG
ensembl:lincRNA